rnacentral:rRNA from 1 species
GGACAACCUACCCUCAGCACAGGGAUAAACCCGGGAAACUGGGUAUAAUACCCGAUAGUUCUGGAGAGCUGGAAUGCUAUCAGGACGAAAGCUCCGGCGGCCGAGGAUGGGUCUGCGGCCUAUCAGGUAGUAGUGGGUGUAAUGUACCUACUAGCCUACGACGGGUACGGGUCGUGAGAGCGAGAGCCCGGAGAUGGAUUCUGAGACACGAAUCCAGGCCCUACGGGGUGCAGCAGGCGCGAAAACUUUACAAUGCUGGCAACAGCGAUAAGGGGACCUCGAGUGCCAGGAUACAAUCUUGGCUGUCGUCGUGUCUAAAUAACACGGCAUAGCAAGGGCCGGGCAAGACCGGUGCCAGCCGCCGCGGUAACACCGGCGGCUCGAGUGGUAACCGCUAUUAUUGGGUCUAAAGGGUCUGUAGCCGGCCGGAUAAGUCUUUUGGGAAAUCUGGCAGCUUAACUGUCAGGCUUUCAGAAGAUACUGUUCGGCUCGAGGCCGGGAGAGGUGAGAGGUACUUCAGGGGUAGGGGUGAAAUCUUGUAAUCCUUGAAGGACCACCAGUGGCGAAGGCGUCUCACCAGAACGGACCUGACGGCAAGGGACGAAAGCUAGGGGCACGAACCGGAUUAGAUACCCGGGUAGUCCUAGCCGUAAACGAUACUCGCUAGGUGUCAGCCACGGUGCGACCGUGGUUGGUGCCGUAGGGAAGCCGUGAAGCGAGCCACCUGGGAAGUACGGCCGCAAGGCUGAAACUUAA